rnacentral:lncRNA from 1 species
AUCUCGCUCUGGUAUUUAAGGACACUCCCGUAGUUCCAUGUAUACAUCACACAGAGGAAGAACGAGGAGAAGGCAAGGGGGAGCCACCCGCCUUCUUUGAUCUUGGAGAGGACGGCAGAGAGGUAGAUGAGCUCAACAGUGCCGAAUAUGGCGGGGAAGCAGAGGGCGAGGAAGAGGUUGGUUUGCCAUAUGAGGAGCAUCACGAGUGUUACUAAUGAGGUGCUCACCAACAUCACUCCAACCUCAGCGAUGCCUGGACGAAGGAAUUAGCAGAAAAGGUUGAAAUGUAGAAAGUACAGUAAUCUGGAUAAAAGAUGUAGCAUACUGUGAGGGGUAUAAAUUCAAAAAACGCCUGAAGGACAAUCAUGUUUGCGGACAGAGUACUAACCAUACGCAUUAGCUAUGUCGGUUGUGUUUCUAAAAGUGGCCACAACAACCACGCACAUGAUCAUAAGAAACCAGUUGAUGACAGGAAUAUAGAUCUGGCCCAUGAACCUUUUCGAGGUGUGGACGAUCUUAACCCUAGGGAAGCAACCAAGGGCCAUCGAUUGCUUAAUGCAGGAGAAGGUCGCUGAUAUCAUGGCCUGGCUAGCUAUCAUCGCAGCGAGAGUCGCGAUUCCAAAGACUGGCCAGAAGAGAACACCUGCUCACCAAGUUAAUGCGAUAAAAAUGAAAGGAACCGAUUGGCUUAUUAUUACCCAUAAACAGUAUGUGAAUGAACACGAAAGAAGUGAAAAAAAAAGAGAAAAGCAUAGACCUUGCCUGCACUAUAACACAUUUUGAAAUGGGCACCUGAACUUAAGUGUUUUGAUUUUACUACCUAGCCUUUCAUUACUCUGAUUCAACAUAUGAUUCAACAUAUUCUGUUAAGAUUUGUCAGACCUUAACAGUUUGCAUCAAAAAAGUUAUAGAAUAUUCCAUAAUGUAACAGAACAUUUUGUCAGAUUAAGAAAUACCAGUGGAGAGGUAGUAAAAUCAAAAUAACAUAAGGUUAGGUAGUAACAAAAUUUAAGACAAUCAGGUAUCCAUCUCAAAGCGUGCUAUAAAUCAUGUAGGUCCUGAAACUAAUUAAACACUCGAAAUGAAAACUCACCUGGUACGGAGUCAUAGAAGACUCUCUCUACUGAGAGUGGAUGUUUCAUUACGUAUGCAGCUUGGCCCAUGUAGGCAAGAAGAAGACAGGGAAAUACCACACAUGUGAAAGCAAUCUGAUAGUGAGUAAAAACAAAAAACAAAAGCAAAAUUAGAGGAAAUUUUGAACCGGAGCAGAAUCAAUGAGCACAAGAUUCCAGGAUUGUAGUAAUACCAAAAAUGAUGAGCAAGAAAGAAAAUAAGUCAAGAGAUAAAAUAACCUGUAUAGAUUUCACAGAGAAAUGACCGAGGUCGGCAAACAUUGCUUCAGCUCCUAUAAAAGAAAAGGACAAGCAAGAUUGUUUGUAAAAGCAUUAAUGCUGUUUCUCUUGAAAAAAAAAAGAGAAAUUACACAGGAAACUUUCAGAUAAAGCAAUACAAGCAGUAAUGACGUGAGGAGGCAAGGUAAACCUGUGAUGCACAAAACACAGCCACCGAGAGCCGACCAAGCUUUCAUGCUAUUUCUCUUGAAAAAGAAAUAAAUAUAUGCUGGAUUGAAUGCCCUCAGAACAGAAGUGUCGUACUUGAUUAUGUUGUAUAUGCCAACAGAGGCCAAAUUGAAGAACCAAAGUGCUAAGAUAGGUGCAAACAGGAAGCCAACUUUGCCGGUCCCAAACCUCUGUAUGCUGAACAGUAGCACAAGAACGACAAUGGAAACAAGCACCACGGCAUCUGCAAAAGGAAUCAUGUAAAGUUUUAGCUAAAUAGGUGGAAGAUAGUUUGCUGUAUUGACACAGAGAGAUAAUCUUGUAAUUUGCAUGUUAACGUGUAGCAGUCGCCAAAUGCAAGACGCAAACAAGCUAAAAGAAGGAGACCUGUGUCAAAUCCUGGAACUUCACCCUGAAGACCACUCACUGCAGACAUUACUGCAUGUAAAGGGAAAAAUAACAGACAACAACAUGAGAUAAUACAGCUUUGGAGGGAAAGAAAACAAAGAAAUUUGAUAUAAGCCAGGAUAAUAGAGGGAGGAUACGAGUGUUAGAAUACCCGACAUUGCUGGAGUCAGAAUGCCAUCUCCAAUAAUCAUUGAAGUACCCAUCAGAACCAAUAGCAAAAGAAGAUUUUUGAAAAUUUGUCUUUUCUCUAAGCAUUCUUUUAUUUUUAAAGCUCUUUCCAGUUCGCGAGUUGGCAACUUAAGCUGAAAGCUGGAGAUGUCUUCAUCAGCACGCUGCUGAUUCGGAAGUAGACUAACUUUUGCAUACCUGCAAAUCAAUGAAUAUAGUGCAAAAGUGCCCCCUGCACUCACAGACAUCGAACUUCAGGCCUAAGCUAUAAGAUUGUAUAAAUGAAAGAAUUAUACUAAUUAAUACAUAUUCCACAAAAUUAUUUAUCUAUCAAAAUCUGAAUUUUCAUGUAUACCCUUUAUAAAUUUCUUACAGAAAUACCAUUGAACUUGGUGCUUAGAUUCCCUCCUGAAGUCAAGCUGAUGCCACCUCAUGACCUUAAGGGCAUUUUUGUAAAAAAAGGUACUUCUUAAGGGGCACAUAUGAAAACUCAGAUCUUAUGGGACCACAGAUAAAUUGAUGAUUUUGUAAGGUAAGUAUGUAUGAGCCCCAAAGAAUUACAACUAGCCCUUGUAUGAUUCGUACCUUCGCCAUUGUCAUUUGCUUUCAGCACUAUGAAAACGUAUUUCGCAAAAGGAACAAUUGCGAUCGUGUACAUGACUAAUGAUAGAGCCCCCAAGACAUCAUCUUCUGAUUUUAUUGGAACUUUGCUGAAUAUAUCACUGAAAACGUAUAAGGGACUCGUCCCCAUGUCACCAUAAACAACGCCAAGCGUUUGAAAUGCCAUUGCAAGCGUACUCCAAAUGGCUAGAUCCUGAUGAGAAUCACAGUUGAAAAUGAAAGAAUCAGUCUCCAUGGUUAUGACCAACAAUUGAUAGGUUAUAUUACCUUUCUCGAUUAAUCAUAUCUUUAAUUUGCUAGUAUCGUAACAAUUAGGUCCUACUAAUUCAUCAUAUAACGAAGCAGGUUUUGUUAAAUUUGAAAUUCUGGGGCUGAAAUUGAAAUUGGGAUCAAAUUUCCGGGACUACAUAGUUAAAAACCGAAACUUUGAGGUCGAAACUAAACUCACAUCAAACGAUGAAAUUAGUGUAAAUAUUACAAAAGAGCAGAUUAUUAAAGUAUUGUAACUUUACAUCCAUAAGUAAACUAAAUAUAUCAAAUGAAUCUACAAAAACCCACUAGAUUAAGAACAGUAGGGAUCUGAAUCUUUUGUAGAGCUAGUAACGAAAGCUAUGUAAAAGAUGGCGAUUUCCACGCAAUACCAAAUACGGCACUGAUUUCGACAGCAAAAGCGUUUACCUGGCGACCAUGGCCGUAGGAGUCGGCGAUCCCCAUCGCCUCCACGUCCAACGAGUCCACCCUUUUCGGCUUCUUCACGAGCCGCCUCCUCAGUGACGCCGACCCCCCGAACCCCGCAAAACCCUCGAACCCUUCCUCUCCACCGGCGCCUCCGCCCCGCUCGCCCUCGCCCUCGCCCUCGCCCUCGAUCGACCACGGGGGCGACUCCGACGAGUCGACCUCGCUCCCGUCCACCCACCUCGACUCGCCCCGCCCCACGCGCCCCCCUCCGCCGCCGCCGCCGCCGCCGCCACCGCCGAGGGGGGGCUCCUCGAUUUCGCCCUCCUCCAUCUCCGCCGCCCCUUCCCCUUCGAGACGGAGCUCCGCUAAGGGGGUAAGGGGAUCUGUGAGCUAGGGUUUUAGCUUGGAGGAGAUGGGGUUCGGGUUGGGGGAGGUAGGGUUCUAUACGAAGACGAUCGGCGAUUAGCGCCGAUUUAAUCGGCGAGAAGAAGAAGAAGAAGAAGAAGAAGAAGAAGAAGAAGAAGAGAUAUUUUUUUUUCAAAAAAUAAAAACUCCUUUUCAUCCGGCGCUUGUGCACUUUUUCUUCGCAACGUAGUAUGUAGACUAUGACGAAAUUAUUGCCUGCUCCUGGUCUACUUUGUAAUCCAUAGACCGACUAUUUUCCACUUUCUAUUUUAUCUCUACUUUCUAAUUUCCUUCAAUAAUAGCUUUAGAUUUUAAACAAAAUUCAAAAUAGUUAUUUAAACCUUAAAAAAAUUAUUUUACUGUACAAUAUAACAAAUAUUUAAUUUAGAUUUAUUUAUAUUAAAUGCUCAAUAGUACUUUUAAAAAAAUUUACGGCAUAAUAUUUAUAGGCAAAUAAAAUAUUUUCUUAUCAUCUGAAAGAAUAUUUCAUAUGUUUUCAUUACAAAGAUUAUAACUUUUAAAGAAAAGGCAAAAUGAUAACCUACAAUUUAAAUAUGCUUCGUAUGGUUUAAUCUGCAUGAAAUAAACACUAACUAACAAGUUCCCUUGUUUUGAAAUUUUAAAAUUAUUUUCACCGUAUAAUAAAUAGCAUCCAUGCAUGGGUGGUCUACGGAUGAUGUCGUGGACCCAGUCCAGCUAAUUAUUUCCCGCUAUGAAGGGAUUUGUUAUGAUAUGUCACGGCCCAUUACACCGACAUGUGGAGCCCACGUUGUGGGACCCAGUGGUCAGUGUAAGAAGAGUGAUAUAUCACCGUUACACCGAGAAUCACCUCCUUCUCCUCCUCCUUUGACCUCUUGCGUGUGGCGGCGUGUUCUGUCACGUGUUCGAUUUGAUAUGGGUGUUUGAUUGCACAAUUAUUGAGGCACGAGGUGUUAUUACCGAAAUUAUUUCCACAGCAUAUAAUUUCGUGCCACGUGUCCUUUUUAAGUUUGACUUAAACUAUACCCCACGUGGCGAUUAAUGUGUGAUUUAGCUAUAAGUGGAUCAAUUAAGAAGGGCCUAAACCCUAAACCGUAAUCCAUGCGAUGUGACGGAAUGAUAAUUAGAAAAAAAAAAAAGAAAAUGCCGACAAAGAAAGAGAAAACAAUGGUGGAAAAAGCGACGAUAAGAAACAUGAUUCAUCUUGCCGAUGAAGGAAGGUAUCAGUCGACGGAAGUAAAAAAUGAACAGUUUAGCCUAAUGCAGAGGUGUGACCCGAUUUCGUUCAACCCAAAAAAAGGAAAAACUAAUUUGGUUCAAACAAAAAAAGAGGAAAACAUGUGGAGGAUGAGCCGAUUCAGAAGAGCCUACACUCAAUAAUAAUUAGUUCGGUUCAAGCAAAAAAAGAGAAAAAUUCGAUUCAGUUCAACGAAAAAAAGAGAAAAAUAUUCGGAGGACUUGAAACGGUUCAAGGUGGAACCCAUACCCAACAAUGAAGGAAACGUUGUCAUGUGACAAAUUAGGGAGAAUAAUGUAUAGGUAUAGAAGAUUUGCAUGUUGUUACAAGAUUAAUUAGAAAAUUACAUGACUAUUCCUACAAAAAUUUUAAAUAUACGCUUACACUUAUCAAAUUAUUCAAUCUCAAAUAUCUCGCUAAUAAAUUGCGUGAUUUUUUUUUUUUGAGAUUAUUAUCAAAACUAUUCUACUCUAUUUUCUUAUUUUUUCAGUCUCCUUACCAAGCAAAUUAUGGAGUCUAUCUAUGAGCUAACAGCAUGUUUGUUCUACUGAAUCUCUCACAUGAAAGAAGCCCUUCACAUCAUAAACACCUGGCGCAUAUAUUUGGAGGAAAACGACGAAUUUAGAGAUGGGACGUGGAGAGUUGUUCGAAGUUCUUGAUCUGUCGGCGCAGAUCCCGACUUCUUAUACAGAGUGGAAGUUUAACUUCUGUCACUUAUCAAGAUAAAGUUGAGAUUGGACAUUUCGCCAAAACUCGCAAUCUUCAGCGUCUAGCGAUGUAUGAUAUUUUAUUUUUUUCUGCUAAUUUAUAGGCUCCAACUAUUGAGAAUCGUCCAAACUUUUUGCUAUUUGCAAUAUAUAUAUGUAGAGUUGAGCUGGAAUGCUAUCGGUAGCAAACGGGCUCCGUUGCCAUCCAUUUUUUUUCGAUGAUGGAGCCUCUAAAUCGACGAUCGGCACCGUUGAAAAUGAUCUAUACCACUUGAAGUAUCUAGAAAUCAAAUUUCAUACUUUUCCGAUAUUGUUUUCUUGUCCAUCAAGUGGGCGUAAAAAUGAAUGGCUGAAAAUGAAUAUCUUCUAAAAAGUGAUGAUAGAAAUUUUGUAAUCAUGAUCGAGAGUAUAGAUCUUGUUCUAAAUAGUUUAAAGAAUUUUCUAACCAAAAUUCAAUUGAUUUGAAUAGCUUUACACCGUUAAACAAGAAGACCUCUCAUAUCAACCAUUAAAAUUACUAAUUUUGAAACCCUUUGAUCANCCUGGUCUACUUUGUAAUCCAUAGACCGACUAUUUUCCACUUUCUAUUUUAUCUCUACUUCCUAAUUUCCUUCAAUAAUAGCUUUUAGAUUUUAAAACGAAAUUCAAAAUAGUUAUUUAAACCUUAAAAAAAUUAUUUUACUGUACAACAUAACUAAUAUUUAAUUAGGAUUUAUUUAUAUUAAAUGCUCAAUAGUACUUUUAAAAAAAUUUACAGUAUAAUAUUUGUAGGCAAAUAAAAUGUUCUCUAGAAAAUUUCAUAUAUUUUCAUUAUAAAAAUUAUAAAUUUUAAAGAGAAGGCAAAAUGAUAACCUACAAUUUAAAUAUGCUUCGUAUGGUUUAAUCUGCGUGAAAUAAACACUAACUAACAAAUUCCCUUGUUUUGAAAUUUUAAAAUUAUUUUUACCGUAUAAUAAAUAGCAUCCAUGCAUGGGUGGUCUACGGAUGACGUCGUGGACCCAGUCCAGCUAAUUAUUUCCCGAUAUGAAGGGAUUUGUUAUGGUAUGUCACGGCCCAUUACACCGACAUGUGGAACCCACGUUGUGGGACCCAGUGGUCAGUGUAAGAAGAGUGAUAUAUCACCGUUACACCGAGAAUCACCUCCACCUCCUCCUCCUCCUCCUUUGUCCUCUUGCGUGUGGCGGCGUGUUCUCUCACGUGUUCGAUUUGAUAUGGGUGUUUGAUUGCACAAUUAUUGAGGCACGAGGUGUUACAGAAAUUAUUUCCACAGCAUAUAAUUUCGUGCCACGUGUCCUUUUUAAGUUUGACUUAAACUAUACCCCACGUGGCGAUUAUUGUGUGAUUUAGCUAUAAGUGGAUCAAUUAAAAAGGACCUAAACCCUAAACCCUAAUCCAUGCGAUGUGACGGAAUGAUAAUUAGAAAAAAAAUAGAAAAUGCCGACAAAAAAAGAGAAAAUAUUGAUGGAAAAAGCGACGAUAAGGAACAUGAUUCAUCUUGCUGAUGAAGACAGGUAUCAAUCGUCGGAAGUGAAAAAUGAACAGUUUAGCCUAAUGCAAAGGUGUGACCCGAUUUUCGUUCAAGCAAAAAAAGGAAAAACUAAUUUGGUUCAAGCAAAAAAAGAGAAAAAUUCGAUUCGGUUCAAUGAAAAAAAGAGAAAAAUAUUCGAAGGACUUGAAUCGGUUCAAGGUGGAACCCAUACCCAACAAUGAAGGAAACGUUGUCAUGUGACAAAUUAGGGAGAAUAAUGUAUAGAUAUAGAAGAUUUGCAUGUUGUUACAAGAUUAAUUAGAAAAUUACAUGACUAUUCCUACAAAAAUUUUAAAUAUACACUUACACUUAUCAAAUUAUUCAAUCUCAAAUAUGUCGCUAAUAAAUUGCGUGAUUUUUUUUUUUUUUGAGAUUAUUAUCAAAACUAUUCUAUUCUAUUUUCUUAUUUUUUCAGUCUCCUUACCAAGCAAAUUAUGGAGUCUAUCUAUGAGCUAAAAGCAUGUUUGUUCUACUGAAUCUCUGACAUGAAAGCCCUUCACCUCAUAAACACUUGGCGCAUAUAUUUGGACGAAAACGACGAACUUAGAGAUGGGACGUGGGGAGUUGUUGGAAAUUCUUUGAUCGGCGCAGAUCCCGACUUCUUAUACAGAGUGGAAGUUUAACUUCUGUCACUUAUCAAGAUAAAGUUGAGAUUGGACAUUUUGCCAAAACUCGCAAUCUUUAGCGUCUAGCGAUCGAUGAUAUUUUAUUUUUUUCUGCUAAUUUAUAGACUCCAACUAUUGAGUAUCGUCCAAACUUUUUGCUAUUUGCAAUAAUGAUAUAUAUAUAUAUAUAUAUAUAUAUAUAUAUAAUAAUGAUAUAUAUAUAUAUAUAUAUAUAUAUAUAUAUAUAUAUAUAUAUAUAUAUAUAUAUAUAUAUAUAUAUAGAGUUCAGCUACUAUGCUAUUAAUAGCACAAAGCAUUUGGUGCUACCAAGUUUUUCGCCGUUAGAUCUGCCAUUGUGAUCACUUUCACCCAUUAGAUCAUACUAUUCAACCAACCACCCACUCAACCCUAGGGGGCCUACAUCAUCCUGAUCACACAUCUCUUAAUCUAAUAGCCAAAAACUUGGUAGCACCAAUAACUUGGUGCUAUUAAUAUAUGGAUGUUAUACAUUAUUGCCACCGAUAUUUAUUAUAUCGAAAUGCAAAAAAAAUUAUAAUAAUAAAAAUUCAGGACUAAAUGACUAUAUGAAAAAAAUAGUAAUCAUUGAAAUCAUAUUAAUAUACUUGUACGAACUUCAAAAAUUUUUUGAAAAAAAUCUAGUUAUUAUUUUUAAAUUUUGCAGGACUAAAUUUGAUUUACUAAGUUUGUUAGGAAUACGUAACUAUAUAAUUUAAAGAAAUAUAUAUUUUUAACAUUCUAAAAUAAUUAUUAGCUAAUAUAUAUAUAGAGAGAGAGAGAGAGUUUAGCUACUAUAUAUCCUCUUAAGUAGAUAGAAGUCUUUUUCCUAUCAAGUCAUUUUGAAUGAUUAACACUUCAAAUUGAUAAUCGACACCAUUGAAAUUGAUCUACACUAUAAAAAAUAUUUAGAUACCAAAUUUUGUAAUAUUUAAAAAUUAUUAUUAAGUCCAUCGAAGAGUUGAAAAAUAAACGGUCAUAAAUGAAUAACCUUCUUAAAAUAGAGGUUAGACUUUCUCAAGUCAUAAUCAAAAUUAUCUUUUUUUGAGAAAAAGAUAGUAAGUUAUCCGCUUCAUUUAUUAAGAAAAAAUGAAUUUGGCAGCAGUGGUGAAGGCAAUCAAGGCCUCUGAAAAAUAAAAAUAAAAAUAAAAAUAAAAGUAAAAUAAAAUAAAAUGCAAAUGCAAAAGAAAGAGAAAGAAUAAGGCAAUAUCCACUCAACGAAGCACCUCCCACGAGCUCAAAAGUUGACUAAUACUCUGAAGCAGGGAAGCCGGGUUGCUAUCCUUGUCUCGGAAGAUUAUAUUAUUCCGUUCAAUCCAGAUCGACCACCAUAGAGCAGAUAGAAGUGUAACUCCUUUGAGACGCAUCUGCUUCUCUUGGAGAUCUAGAAGCUCUGUCCACAUUCCUCUGCUGUCCAACGAAGCUUGGAAGUUUGGGAGCCCGUCAUUUAAACAAAAGAUCAAAUAUCUAACGAACACGCAUCCAGAGAACAGAUGAUCACAUGUUUCAAGUUCAUUAGCACAGAACACGCAUAGUUGUUCGUCUAUCCAACCGCGUUUAUGGAGAAUGUCUGCAGUGAGGACUCUUUUUCUUAGCACCAGCCAAACAAAGACUUUGAUUUUAAGUGGCAUUUUAAGCUUCCAAAUUCGAAAACUAAGAUAAUCUCCAAUCUCUUCUUCCCCAGCAAUUGGAAAUUCGUAAAUUCUUGUUUCGAAUCCUGUUGAAGAUAUCAGGGAACAGAGAUCUAAGGGGGGCGUUUCCUACCCAGCAAUCUGUCCAAAAUUGCAUGUUUUUGCCGUCUCUCAAAGCAUGAGUUAAACCACAUCUGAAGCUGUCCCAACAACGUAGGAUGCUUCUCCACCAGUGGGAAUAAGGCUUGAACCUGCUACCUUCCUUGAGGGGCAUUCUCCUGCUGUAAUAUAGGGCUCUAAUUAAUUUUGUCCAACGUGUAUCAUGCUCUGUAAACAAUCUCCACCACCACUUCAUUAAGAGUGCCAUAUUCAUUGCCUCCAUGUCUUUGAUCCCAACUCCUCCUUUUUUACUCUCGCAUACGCUUUUCCAAUUCACCAAGCAAAUUCUGUUGGCUUAAAUGGGCCAGCAUCCUGCCCUGUGGCAGGAGGCCAUGUGGGCCGAGUCAUGUUCGAAAUGGCAUGAGGCUGGGUUGGGCCGAGUCAUGUUCGAAGUUGCGUGAGACCAGGUAGGCCGAGUCACAAUCGAGACCCGUGGGCGCUGUUUCUGUACGCUUUAAAUGAAUUGGUUGCGUAUUUCUAACAGCUCGAGCUUUUGGGAUUAAUGGUUAGCGCCAACGAUCCGACAAAUUCUACCGCCAGUGCUAGGGCAUCCUUUUCAAAAGAAGGAUCUCCGAAGAGCUUCAAUGCGACUAAGGACCCAUUUUGGUGCUUUAAAAAUAGAGAAAAAGUACAAAGGUAUAUUAGAGAGGACUGAAUUUGUAAAAGUAAGUCUGCCUCCUUGAGAUAAAAGUUUGGAUUGCCAUCCUUGAAUUCGUAUCUCUAAUUUAUUGAAAAUCUUUAUCCAGUCCUCUUUUGUCAAGCACCUGUUAGAGAGCGGGAGCCCUAAAUAGCGAGUAGGAAGAGUUCCAACUUUGCAGUUUAAGAUGGAUGCUAAAUGCACAUCUUUGUGCUGCUUUCAUAAUCAGAAUUAUCAAACAUUAUCUAAAGAGUAUAAAAAAAAAUUUUAUCAAAAAUUCGAGCAAUUUGGAUUGUUCUACACCGCUAAACAAGCAAACGACUUGAUAUAUAGACUGUCAAAAAAUUAUUGAUUUUACGAUAUUUUGAUCAUCAUGUAAAUAAUUUUUAAAAUUUAUACAGUUCAUUCCAUGGCCGUCGACUUUGCCAAAACAGGAGCUCCGGCCGAUAUGCCCAGGGUUUUGAAACCUAAAGAGUACCCUGAUUUUAUGGGUGGGAUCGGCCCAUGUACAAAUUGUUGGCUUAAAUGGGCCAGCAUCCUGCCCUGUGGCGGGAAGCUAUGUUGGGCCGAGUCAUGUUCGAAAUGGCGUGAGACUGAAUGCACCGAGUCAUAUUCGAAGUGGUGUGAGGCUGGGUGGGCUGGGUGGGCUGAGUCGCAAUCGAGAUCCACGGGCGCUACAUCUGUACGCUUUAAGUGAAUUAGUUGUAUAUUUCUAAUAGCUCGAGCUUUUGGGAUUAAUGGUUAGCAUCAGCGAUCCGGCACAAAUCAAUCGGCGUUCUGGGAAAGCUCUAUAGAGCAGUCUCCACCCAUAUCGAAGAAACCCUAAGUUUCGAUACCAACUUUGCAAACUCAAUUCCUGAAGCUGCUUAUGACCGUGAUCUCGAAGUUGAAGGGUUUGAGGCUUUUCUGGAAGCUGCUCAAGAGUUCUAUGAUCAGUAUUCCGAGAAGCUGAGCUCCCUGAUGAAUUACUACGGUGCGGAGUAUGAAGAUGAGAUAUUAACAGGAAACUUGCGGAACCGAUCCCUGUAUUUGGUGAAGGAUAGGAACAGAUAUGGGGAAAUGAAGGACCGGAUUUUAGUCGUUGGUAAAGGCUUGAUACAAGAGGUCGGCCGGGUGGUUAACAGCAGCUGUGCAGACAGACGUCGCUAAAGAUGCAUCGGCGUGGUACCAUGUGACUUAUCAUCAAAUUACAGUCCGAAAAAUAGAAUUCUUGAGCUUUCCUUGGACUAUUAGUGAUGCUCUUCUUAGUCAUAAAAUCAUCGAAGCACCAGAGAAAGCUCAUAAGAGGAGGCAAUUGUAAUGCUGAUGUUAACUAGGGAACUAUAUAGCUCUUGUUGCGAAAACAAGUGCUUUUAUUUUGUAAAUUCUGUGGUAGCUGACAUGUAAAUUUUUGUUCAUGAUCCUUUUAAAAGUGAUGUAGCACUAUUUUUAUGUUAGUGCCAAAGGUGUUAGAUUUGGACUUAUGAAAAAUCCGUCUCACUAUCAUCCUAUUGUAACUUUCUAAGUAAUUCUCUGUAUGGUUAAAAUGAAGCAAAUAAGUUGCAAAACUUUGUGUGGGUGCUCGCGAUCUCUUACAUCUUAAUGAACUCCACAGAUCGCUGCAAUGUUGUUCCAUCGGAUGUUUUCUUAUUCCGUUAUUGAGCAGUAAAAUAGCAGCCAAAAUCAUCAAUAUGUCGAAAAAAGGUUCAACUCUUCACUUUUAAAAUUUAUCUGCCACUACACUUGGCAGAGUUCAUAUAAGAUUGUCAUAUCGUAAGGGAUUGUUUGAUCCUCUUACUUUUGUGUACCACCUUUGUAGAGAUACGUUUGUACAAGAUACUCAUUUGUGCAUCCAAUCAGCCCCUUUAAGCUACACAAGAUAAUCAAAUUUUCUUUUUCUUUUUCCUUUUUUUUAAAAAAAAAAGGAGUACAAGAAAUAUCUGAACGCAUCUUUUUGAAGAAUUAAUAGUAUAUAUUAAUAUUAAUGUCUUCUACAGAACAUCAAUCGUGAUGAUACAUUCUGCUCAAACAAAUAACAGCAGUUGCCACACUUCACUGCUAACUUAAUCACCCCACUACUUAAAUAAUCACCAUUACAAGUUACAAAUACCUCAACUUCUCCUCCUAAGCAUUCAACUGAGUAGGAAUCACAAGCUAUGAAUCUUCACCCUACACCAUGUAAUCAUACCCACUCGGAUGAUAUUCAUACUGCGGAACUUUCAGCUCGCCGUUCCGGCCCCUGCAGUUCUCCUCAGGAAGGCGUAAGUAGUUUAUGAUGAGCUUCUUGAUGAAAAUUGACUCCUCGUGUGCCCGCACCGCCCCGUGCGCCAGUAAGUAAUGUAACCUGACUCUGUUGCUUCCCUCAGCGGCUGACAAACUCGACUCCAAUCCGAUCCUCCUCUGAGGACGGCAUCGCGCUUGACGGUAGCAGAGAGAGCGCGUCUCUGCGCUCGUCCUCCGGUUGUUCGUCACUCCUAUCCGAUCCGGCUGACAACAGUGGCGCUGCCGAUCCCAGCCCAGCUUCAAUCCCAGUCCUGAUCCAGGACACUGACCACAGCCCGUAUAUCGCCCCUUCUUCCCGCGUCAGAAUCCGUGUUGGCACGCUGCGGGCUGAACUCCAGUGCGAGCUCCCUGAGCUCCUUCUCAGGAACUUCUCGAGCUCUCGAUCAGCAGCUGCUCAACGCAUGUGGUCCUCCUUGCGGCGUGUCCUUGUACCCGUACCGUGCCACGCAACGAAACAUGUGGAAGUCCUUUGGCAAACCCUACGAAAGAGAAACCUCCUCUGCCGAGGAAGGACGGGCACGUACUUUAUGCACACGAAACACACUGUGUAGAUGAUCGCUGCAGCGUGAGCAAGAAUUGCCAAAUAAUCGAAGGAAUGCCCUGUACAAUUUCAUUGUAGCCAGGAGGCCAAUCCAGGACGCGUACUGUCGAAGGAAUGAGCCAAGAUCGGCGGAUGAAAUCCAUGAGAUCUAUUUCGCGCAUCUCGCUCUGGAUUUAAGGACACUCCCGUUAGUUCCAUGUAAUCAAUCACACAGAGGAAAACGAGGAGAAGGCAAGGGGAAGCCACCACCCGCCUUCUUUGAUCUUGGAGAGACGGCAGAGAGGUAGAUGAGCUCAACAGUGCCGAAUAUGGCGGGAAGCAGAGGGCGAGGAAGAGGUUGGUUUGCCAUAUAGAGGACAUCACGAGUGUUACUAAGAGGUGCUCACCAACAUCACUCCAACCUCAGCGAUGCCUGGACGAAGGAAUUAGCAGAAAAGGUUGAAAUGUAGAAAGUACAGUAAUCUGGAUGAAAAAUGUAGCAUACUGUGAGGGUAUAAAUUCAAAAACAGCCUGAAAGGACAAUCAUUUUGCGGACAGAGUACUAACGCAUAUAACGCAUUAGCUAUGUCGGUUGUGUUUCUAAAAGGCCACAACAACCACGCACAUGAUCUAAGAAACCAGUUGAUGACCAGGAAUAUAGAUCUGGCCAUGAACCUUUCGAGAUGUGACAUCGUUAACCCUAGGGAAGCAACCAAGGGCCAUCGAUUGCUUAAUGCAGGAGAAGGUCGCUGAUAUCAUGCCUGGCUAGCUAUAUCAUCCAGCAGAAGUCCCGAUUCCAAAGACUGCCAGAAGAGAACACUGCUCUACCAAGUUAAUAGGCGAUAAAAUGAAAGGAACCGAUUGCUUAUUAUUACCCAUAACAGUAUGUGAAUGAACAGAAAGAAGUGAAAAAAAAGAGAAAAGCAUAGACUUGCCUGCACUAUAACACAUUUUGAAAAUGGGCACCUGAACUAAGUGUGUUUUGAUUUUACUACCUUAGCCUUCUCAUUAACCGGAUUCAACAUAUGAUUCAACAUAUUCUGUUAAGUUUGUCAGACCUUAACAGUUUGCAUCAAAAAAGUUAUAGAAUAUUCCAUAAGUAACAGAACAUUUUGUCAAUUAAGAAAUACCAGUGGAGAGGUAGUAAAAUCAAAAUAACAAUAUAGGUUAGGUAGUAACAAAAUUUAAGACAAUCCAGGUAUCCAUCUCAAAGCGUGCUAUAAAUCAGUAGGUCCUGAAACUAAUUAAACACUCGAAAUGAAAACUCACCUGUACGGAGUCUAGAAACUCUCUCUACUGAGAGUGAUGUUUCAUUACGUAUGCAGCUUGGCCCAUGUAGGCAAGAAGAAGACAGGGAAAUACACACAUUGAAAAGCAAUCUGAUAGUGAGUAAAAACAAAACAAAAAGCAAAUUAGAACGAAUUUUGAACCGGAGCAGAAUCAAUGAGCACAAGAUUCCAGGAUUGUAGUAAUACCAAAAAGAUGAGCAAGAAAGAAAAUAAGUCAAGAGAUAAAAUUAACCUGUAUAAGAUUUCACAGAGAAAUGACCGGGUCGGCAAACAUUGCUUCAGCUCCUAUAAAAGAAAAGGACAAGCAAGAUUGUUUGUAAAAGCAUUGAAUGCUGUUUCUCUGUAAAAAAAAAAGAGAAAUUACACAGAAACUUUCAGAUAAAGCAAUAACAACAGUAAUGUACGUGAGGAGGCAGGUAAAGCCUGUGAUGCACAAACACAGCCACCGAGAGCCGACCACAAGCUUUCAUGCUAUUCUCUUGAAAAAGAAAUAAAUAUAUGCUGGAUUGAAAUGCCUCAGACAGAAUUGUCGUACUUGAUUAUGUUUUAUGCCCAACCAGAAGGCCAAAUUGAAGAACCAAAGUGCUAAGAUAGGUGCAAACAGGAAGCCAACUUUGCCGGUCCAAACCUCUGUAUGCUGAACAGUAGCACAAGACGACAAUGGAAACAAGCACCUACGGCAUCUGCAAAAGGAAUCAUGUAAAUUUUUAGCUAAAUAGUGAAGAUAGUUUGCUGUAUUGACAUCAGAAGUUAAUUCUGUAAUUUGCAUGUUAACGUGUAGCAGUCGCCAAAUGCAAGACGCAAACAAGCUAAAAAAGAACGCUGUGUCAAAUCUGGAACUUCACCCUGAAGACCCACUCACUGCAGACAAUUACUGCAUGUAAAGGGAAAAAUAACAGACAACAACAUGAGAUAAAUACAGCUUUGGAGGGAAAGAAAAAAAGAAAUUAAUAUAGAGCAGGAUAAUAGAGGGAGAUACGAGUGUUAGAAUACUCGACAUGCUGGAGUCAGAAUGCCAUCUCCAAUAAUCAUUGAAGUACCCAUCAGAACCAAUAGCCAAAGAAGAUUUUGCAAAUUUGUCCUUUUCUCUAAGCAUUCUUUUUAUUUUUAAGAGCUCUUCCAGUUCGCGAGUUGGCAACUUAAGCUGAAAUCUGGAGAUGCCUUCAUCAGCACGCUGCUGAUUCGGAAGUAGACUAACUUUUGCAUACCUGCAAAUCAAUGAAUAUAGGCAAAAGUGCCGCCCAUGCACUCACAGACAUCGAACUUCAGGCUAAGCUAUAAGAUUGUAUAAAUGAAAGAAUUAUAACUAAUAAUACAUAUUCCACAAAAUUAUUUAUCUAUCAAAAUAUCUGAAUUUUCAAUGUAUACCCUUAUAAAUUUUCUUACAGAAAUACCAUUGAACUUGGUGCUUAAUUCCCUCCUGAAGUCAGCUGAUGCCACCUCAUGACUUAAGGGCAUUUUUGUAAAAAAGGUCCUUCUUAAGGGCAGCAUAUGAAAACUCAGAUCUUAUGGGACCACAGAUAAAUUGAUGAUUUUGUAAGGUAAGUAUGUAAUGAGCCCAAAGAAUUACAAACUAGCCUUGUAUGAUUAGUACUUUCGCAUUGUCAUUUGCUUUCAGCACUAGAAAAACGUAUUUCGCAAAGAGAACAAUUGCGAUCGUGUACAUGACUAAUGAUAGAGCCCCCAAGACAUCAUCUUCUGAUUUUAUUGGAACUUGGCUGAAUAUAAUCACUGAAACGUAUAAGGACUCGUCCGCAAUGUCACCAUAAACAACGCCAAGCGUUUGAAAUGCCAUUGCAAAGCGUAACUCCAAAUGGCUAGAUCCUAUGAGAUCACAGUUGAAAUGAAGAAUCAGUCUCCAUGGUUAUGACCAACAAUUGAUAGGUUUAUAUUACCUUUCUCGAUUAAUCAUAUCUUUAAUUUCGUAGUAUCUGUAACAAUUAGUCCUACUAAUUCAUACAUAUAACGAAGCAGGUUUUGUUAAAUUUUGAAAUUCUGGGGCUGAAAUUGAAAUUGGGAUCAAAUUUCCGGAACUCACAUAGUUAAAACUGAAACUCUUGAGGUCGAAACUAAACUCACAUCAAACGAUGAAAUUAGUGUAAAUAUUACAAAAGAGCAGAUAUUAAAGUAUUGUAACUUUACAUCCAUAAUAAACUAAAUAUAUCAAAUGAAUCUACAAAAACCCACUAGAUUAAGAACAGAAGGGAUCUGAAUCUUUUGUAGAGCUAAGUAACGAAAGCUAUGUAAAAGAUGGCGAUUUCCACGCAAUACCAAUACGACACUGAUUUCGACAGCAAAAGCGUUUACCUGCGCGACCAUGGCCGUAGAGUCGCGAUCCCGCAUCGCCUCCACGUCCACGAGUCCCACCUUUUCGGCUUCUUCACGAGCCGCCUCCUCAUGUGACGGCCGACCCCCCGAACCCCGCAAAACCCUCGAACCUUCCUCUCCACCGGCGCCUCCGCCCGCUCGCCCUCGCCCUCGCGCCUCACGCCCUGCGCCUUCGAUCGACCACGGUGGCGAUCCCGACGAGUCACCUCGCCGCCGUCACACUCAUCGUCGCCCGCCCCCCCGCCCCCCUCCGCCGCCGCCGCGCCGCCGCCACCGCCGAGGGGGGCUCCUCGAUUUCGCCUCCUCCCAUCUCCGGCCGCCCUUCCCCUUCGAGACGGAGCUUCCGCUAAGGGGUAAGGGAUCUGUGAGCUCGGGUUUUAGCCUUGGAGGAGAUGGGGUUCGGGUUGGGGGAGUAGGGUUCUAUACGAAGACGAUCGGACGAUAGCGCCGAUUAAUCGGCGAGAAGAAGAAAAGAAGAAAGAAAGAAGAAGAAGAAGAAGAGAUAUUUUUUUUCAAAAAAAAAUCCUUUUCAUACCGGCGCUUGUGCACUUUUUCUUCGCAACGUAGUAUGUAGACUAUGACGAAAUUAUUGCCUGCUCUGGUCUAACUUUGUAAUCCAUAGACCGACAUUUUCUCACUUUCUAUUUAUCUCUACCUUUCUAAUUUCCUUCAAUAAUAGCUUUAGAUUUUAAACAAAAUUCAAAAUAGUUAUUUAAACCUUAAAAAAUAUUAUUUUACUGUACAUAUAACAAAUAUUAAUUUAGAUUUAUUUAUAUUAAAUGCUCAAUAUACUUUUAAAAAAAUUUACGGCAUAAUAUUUAUAGCAAAUAAAAUAUUUUCUUAUCAUCUGAAGAAUAUUUCAUAUGUUUUCAUUACAAGAUUAUAACUUUUAAAGAAAAGGCAAAAUAUAACUAACAAUUUAAAUAGCUUCGUAUGGUUAAUCUGCAUGAAAUAAACACUAACUAACAAUUCCCUUGUUUUGAAAUUUUAAAAAUUAUUUUCACUCGUAUAAAAAUAGCAUCCAUGCAGGUGGUCUACGAUGAUGUCGUGGACGCCAGUCCAGCUAAUUGAUUUCCCGCUAUGAAGGGAUUUGUUAUGAUAUGUCACGGCCAUUCACCGACAUGUGGAGGCCCACGUUGUGGGACCCAGUGUCAGUGUAAGAAGAGUGAUAUAUCACCGUUACACCGAGAAUCACCUCCUUCUCCUCCUCCCUUUGACUCUCUGCGUGUGCGGCGUGUUCUGUCACGUUGUUCGAUUUGAUAUGUGUGUUGAUUGCACACAAUUAUUGAGGCACGAGGUGUUAUUACCGAAAUUAUUUCACAGCAUAUAAUUUCGUGCCACGUGUCCUUUUCAAGUUUGACUUAAACUAUACCCCACGUGGCGAUUAAUGUGUGAUUUAGCUAUAAGUGGAUCAAUUAAGAAGGCCUAAACCUAAACCGUAAUCCAUGCGAUGUACGAAAUGAUAAUUAUGAAAAAAAAAAAGAAAAUUGCCGACAAAAGAAGAGAAAACAAUGGUGGAAAAAGCGACGAUAAGAAACAUGAUUCAUCUUGCGAUGAAGGAAGGUAUCAUCGACGGAAGUAAAAAAUGAACAGUUUACCUAAUGCAGAGGUGUGACCACCGAUUUCGUUCAAGCCCAAAAAAAGGAAAAACUAAUUUGGUUCAAACAAAAAAAAGGAAAACAUGUGGAGAUGAGCCGAUUCAGAAGAGCCUACACUCAUAAUAAUUAAGUUCGGUUCAAGCAAAAAAAAGAAAAAUUCGAUUCAGUUCAACGAGAAAAAAGAAAAAAUAUUCGGAGAGACUUGAAACGUUUCAAGGUGGAACCAUACACCCAACAAUCGAAGGAAACGUUUGUCAUGUGACAAAUUAGGGAGAAUAAUUAUAUCGGUAUACGAAGAUUGCAUUGUGUACAAGAUUAAUUAGAAAAUUACAUGACUAUUCCUAACAAAAAUUUUAAAUAUGAACGCUUAUCACUUAUCAAUUAUUCAAUCUCAAAUAUCUCGCUAAUAAAUGCGUGAUUUUUUUUUUUGAGAUUAUUAUCAAAACAUAUUCUACUCUAUUUUCUUAUUUUUUCAGUCUCCUUAACCAUGCAAAUUAUGGAGUCUAUCUAUGAGCUAACAGCAUGUUGUUCUACUGAAUCUCUCACAUGAAAGAAGCCUUCACAUCAUAAACACCUGGCGCAUAUAUUUUGGAGGAAAACGACGAAUUUAAGAUGGGACGUGAGAGUUGUUCGAAGUUCUUGAUCUGUCGCGCGCAGAUCCGACUUCUUAUACAGAGUGGAAGUUUAACUUCUGUCACUUAUCAAGAUAAAGUUGAGAUUGGACAUUUCGCCAAAACUCGCAAUCUCCAGCGUCUAGCGAUGUAUGAUAUAUUUUUAUUUUUUCUGCUAAUUUAUAGGCUCCAACUAUUGAGAUCGUCCAAACUUUUUGCUAUUUGCAAUAUAUAUAUGUAGAGUUGAGCUGGAAUGCUAUCGUAGCAAACGGGCUCCGUUGCCAAUCCAUUUUUUUUCGAUGAUGGAGCCUCUAAAUCGACGAUCGGCACCCGUUGAAAAUGAUCUAUACCACUUAAGUAUCUAGAAAUCAAUUUCAUACUUUUCGAAUAUUUUGUUUUUGUCCAUCAGUGGGCGUAAAAAUGAAUGGCUGAAAAUGAAUAUCUUCUAAAAAGUGAUGAUAGAAAUUUUGUAAUCAUGAUCGAGAGUAUAGAUCUGUUCUAAAUAGUUAAAGAAUUUUCUAACAAAAUUACAUUGAUUUGAAUAGCUUACACCGUUAAACAAGAAGACCUCUCAUAUCAACCAUUAAAAUUACUAAUUUUGAACCCUUUGAUCACUAGGUAAAUGAUGUCGAAAAAAUUUGAAUAUUUAAUUUCUAAAUACUUCAAAGUGAUAUAGAUCAAUGUUCAACGGUACGAUCGUCGAUUUUGAAAGCUCUAUCAUCGAAAACAAAAUGGGUGGCAACGGACGCCCGUUUGCUACCGAUAGCAUUCCAGCUCAACUCUAUAUAUAUAUAUAUAUAUAUAUAUUAUAAUAUUAGUAUACAGAGUGGGCUGGUAUGCUUUCGUAAGCACGAGGCCUCCGUGCUUCCACUUGUUUUCGAUGUUCGGACUUUCUAAUUGACGAUCCGCCUCCGUAGAGUUGAUCUAGAGUAUUAAAGUACCAAGAAAUUAAAUUUUGCGAUUUUUCGAUAUCAUUUGCCUAUGAUCGAAGGGCUCAAAAUCAAUAAUUUUAAGGCCGUGGUGAGCCGGUUGCAAGUUUAACGGUGUAGAGAAUAUCCAAAUCACGUGAAAUUUUGAUAGAAAAUUCUUUAUACCAUAUAAAAAAGAUCAAUAACUUUGAUUAUAAAUUUUAAUAUCAUAUCAUCAUAUUUUGUGAGAUUUUUAUUUUCAGCCGUUGAUUUUGAGCCACUUCGAUCACUAGGCAAAUGAUAUCGAAAAAUCGCAAAAUUUAUUUUCUAGAUACUUCAAAUACUCUAGAUCAAGUCUAACGGAGCCGAUCGUCGAUUUGAAAGUCCCAACAUCGAAAACAAAGUGGAAGCACGGAGCGCUCCGUGCUUCCGAAAGCACCCCAGACGCACUCUAUAUAUAUAUAUAUUUGGAUGUUAUGCAUUAUUGCCACCGUUAUUUAUUUUAUCGAAAUGCAAAAAAAAAUUAUAAUAAUAAAAAUUCACGACUAAAUGACUGUAUGAAAAAAAUAGUAAUCAUUGAAAUCAUAUUAAUAUACUUGUACGAACUUCAAAAAUUUUUUGAAAAAAAUCUAGUUAUUAUUUUUAAAUUUAGCAGGACUAAAUUUGAUUUACUAAGUUUGUUAGGAAUACGUAACUAUAUAAUUUAAAGAAAUAUAAAAUAAUUAUUAGCUAAUAUAUAUAUAUAUAUAGAGAGAGAGAGAGAGAGAGAGUGUUUAGCUACUAUAUAUCCUCUUAAGGAGAUAGAAGCCUUUAUCCUAUCAAGUCAUUUUGAAUGAUCGACACUUCAAAUUAAUAAUCGAUACCAUUGAAAGUGAUCUACACUAUAAAAAAUAUUUAGAUACCAAAUUUUGUAAUAUUUAAAAAUUAUUAUUAAGUCCAUCGAAGAGUUGAAAAAUAAACGGUCAUAAAUGAAUAACCUUCUUAAAAUAGAGGUUAGACUUUCUCAAGUCAUAAUCAAAAUUAUCUUUUUUUGAGAAAAAGAUAGUAAGCUAUCCGCUUCAUUCAUUAAGAAAAAAUGAAUUUAGCAUCAGUGGUGAAGGCAAUUAAGGCCUCCGAAAAAUAAAAAUAAAAAUAAAAGUAAAAUAAAAUAAAAUGCAAAUGCAAAAGAAAGAAAAAGAAUAAGGUAAUAUCCACUCAACGAAGCACCUCCCACGAGCUCAAAAGUUGACUAAUACUCUGAAGCAGGAAAGCCGGGUUGCUAGCCUUGUCUCGGAAAAUUAUAUUAUUCCGUUCAAUCCAGAUCGACCACCAUAGAGCAAAUAGAAGUGUAACUCCUUUGAGACGCAUUUGCUUCUCUUGGAGAUCUAGAAGCUCUACCCACAUUCCUCUGCUGUCCAACGAAGCUUGGAAGUUUGGGAGCCCGUCAUUUAAACAAAAGAUCAAAUAUCUAACGAACACGCAUCCAGAGAACAAAUGAUCACAUGUUUCAAGUUCAUUAGCACAGAACACGCAUAGUGGUUCGUCUAUCCAACCGUGUUUAUUGAUAAUUUAUUGAUAAAAGUUUAAUGUUUGGAUUGCCAUCCUUGAAUUCGUAUCUCUAAUUUAUUGAUAAUCUGUAUCCAGUCCUCUUUUGUCAAGCACCUGUUAGAGAGCGGGAGCCCUAAAUAGCGAGUAGGAAGAGUUCCAACUUUGCAGUUUAAGAUGGAUGCUAAAUGCACAUCUUUGAACUGCUUUCAUAAUCAGAAUUAUCAAACAUUAUCUAAAGAGUAUUAAAAAAAAUUUAUCAAAAAUUCGAACAAUUUGAAUUGUUCUACACCGUUAAACAAGCAAACGAUUCGACAUAUAGACCGUCAAAAAAUUAUUGAUUUUACGAUAUUUUGAUCAUCAUGUAAAUAAUUUUUAAAAUUUAUAAAGUUCAUUCUAUGGCCGUCGACUUUGCCAAAACAGGAGCUCCGGCCGAUAUGCCCAGGGUUUUGAAACCUAAAGAGUACCCUGAUUUUAUGGAAAGAUGGGAUGGGCCCAUGUACAAAUUGUUGGCUUAAAUGGGCCAGCAUCCUACCCUGUGACGGGAGGCAAUGUUGAGCCGAGUUAUAUUCGAAAUAGCGUGAGGUUGAACGCACCAAGUCAUAUUCGAAGUGGCGUGAGGCUGGGUGGGCCGAGUCACAAUCGAGAUCCAUGGGCGCUGCAUAUGUACGCUUUAAGUGAAUUGGUUGUAUAUUUCUAAUAGCUCGAGCUUUUGGGAUUAAUGGUUAGCGUCAGCGAUCCGGCACAAAUCAACCAGCGUUCUGGGAAAGCUCUAUAGAGCAGUCUCCUCCCAUAUCGAAGAAACCCUAAGUUUCGAUACCAACUUUUCAAACUCUAACUCCUGAAGCUGCCUAUGACCGUGAUCUCGAAGUUGAAGGGUUUGAGGCUUUUCUGGAAGCUGCUCAAGAGUUCUAUGAUCAGUAUUCCGAAAAGCUGAGCUCCCUGAUGAAUUACUACGGUGCGGAGUAUGAAGAUGAGAUAAUAACAGGAAAUUUGCGGGACCGAUCCUUGUAUUUGGCGAAGGAUAGGAAGAGAUAUGGGACCGGAUUUUAGUCAUUGUUAAAGGCUUGCAAAAAGAAGGUCGAUUCGCAAAAGAUGGCAUCGGCGUGGUACCAUGUUUUUUUUUUCCUUCUUUUUUGUUGUUUUCCAAAAAAAGGGAGUACAAGAAAUAUCUGAACCAUCUUUUUGAAGAAUUAAUAGUAUAUAUGUAUAUAUAUUAAUGUCCUCUACAAAUAUCAAUCAUGGAUGAUGCAUUCUGCUACAACAAAUAACAGCAGUUGGCCACCCUUCACUGCUAACUUAAUCCCACCCACUACUUAAAUAAUAAUCACCAUUACAAGUUACAAAAUACCUCAACUUCUCCUCCUAAGCAUUCAACUGAGUAUGAAUCACAAAGCCAUUGAAUCUUCACCCUACACCAUGUAAGUCAUACCCACUUGGAUGAUAUUCAUAUGCGGAACCUUCAUGCUCGCCGUUCCGGCCCUGCAGUUCCUCCUCAGGAAGGCGUAGAAGUAGUUUAUGAUGAGCUUCUUGAUGAAAAUCGACUCCUUCGUCGCCCGCACGUCCCCCUGCGCCAGUAGGUAUGUGAACCCUGACUCUGUUGCUUCCCUCAGCGCUGACAACUCGUACUCCAAUCCAGGGUCCUCCUCUGAAGACGGCAUCGCGCUUGACGGUAGCAGAGAGAGCCCGUCCUCUGCGCUCGUCCUCCGGUCGUCCUUCACCCUACUCUGAUCGGCUGACAACAGUGGUGCGUGCAGAUCCCCGGCCCCAGCUUCAACCCCAGUCCUGAUCCAGGACCUGACCACAGGCCGUAUAUCGCCGCCUUCUUCCCCGUCAGAAUCCGUGUUGGCAGGCUGCAGGCUGAACUCCACUGCGAGCUCCUGAGCCUCCUUCCGCAGGAACUUCUCGAGGCUCUCGAUCAGCAGCUGCUCAAACGCAUGGUGAUCCUCCUUGAGCGUGUCCUUGUACCCAUACCGUGCCACGCAACGAAACAAGUGGAAGUCCUUUUGGCAAAGCCUACGAAAGAGAAACCUCUCCUCUUGCAAGACGUAAGGGACGGGCACGUACUUUAUGCACACGAACACCACCGUAGAGUGGAUCGCUGGGAGCGUGAGCAAGAAUUGCCUGAAUAUCGAUGGAAUGCCCUGUACGAGUUCAUUGUACAGGAGGCCGACCCCAGGGACGCGUACUGUGCCAAGGGAAGAGCCAAGAUCGGAGAUGAAAUCCAUGGAGACCUUUUCGCGCAUCUCGCUCUGGUAUUUAAGGACGCUCCCGUAGUUCCAUGUAUACAUCACACAGAGGAAGAACGAGGAGAAGGCGAGGGGGAGCCACCCGCCUUCCUUGAUCUUGGAGAGGACGGCAGAGAGGUAGAUGAGCUCAACAGUGCCGAAUAUGGCGGGGAAGCAGAGGGCGAGGAAGAGGUUGGUUUGCCAUAUGAGGAGCAUCACGAGCGUUACUAAUGAGGUGGUCACCAACAUCACUCCA